rnacentral:lncRNA from 1 species
AUUCUCUUACUGCCAUGUCAGGUGAUUUUCCAUAGUCCUAUAAAUAAAUGUGUCUGACAGGAAACGUUUGUUUACGGCACAUAAGCAAAUUGACAACACUGAGAAGAAGACUACCAUUUUCAGGAGGAAAGUGAGGACAUUUGAACAACAAGAGUCUGUCCGGAUCGACAACAGCUGAAGCAAAAGAUAGAAAAAAAAUGACUCAUCUGUUUCACAGACUCCAUCUACAACUCAAACUAAGAGCUGCAGAUGUUCUUCAGAUUAAUGAACAUUCAAUACAGUCUCAUGAAACCUGUGCUGAAGAGGAGCUGAUUCAGACUUUCAUACAAAAACUACUGAUGAACAACUACAGGGCAAGACAUAUUAAAACAAAUAGUAACACUGAGACCAAUCAAACAUUGCUUAGUGUCAGUGACCAAUCUGAAGAUGACGGUGAUAUUUUUCAGGAUGCUUUUAAAAACAAAAGGUCAAGUCAGCCCGAACUCAUUCACCCAAUGGAUGUUCAGAUGGCUGUGUUUCAUCGUGCUGAUGGUUUCCUGAAGCAGCUGAUGGUCACUAAACUGUCCCAGUGUCAGUUCGCUCUGCCUCUGCUUGUUCCUGAUCUAGAAACUCAACAGAUUGAGUUUCCUCUCUGGACAUUCAGACAAAUCAACAAGAGCUGGAAGAUCAGAAACACCAACUAUGAAACCAUCAGUCAAACCCAGCCGACCUUCAAGGCACAAACUCCAAUGGUGUUUUUCUUCAGGUUUGGCUCUGUGUCUUCAUCCAAGUCUCAGCUGAUGAACACUCUGAUCAAUGACAAACACAACACGUUCUUCCACAGGAACUGCCCAGGCAGCAGCAGAUCCAGAGUCCUGAUGGAUGGAGUGGUGGAGAUCGCCUGGUUCUGCCCUUCUGGGAGAAACACAGAUACAUUUACUGAUU